UGGGGAAUUUUGGACAAUGGGGGAAACCCUGAUCCAGCCAUCCCGCGUGUGCGAUGAAGGCCUUCGGGUUGUAAAGCACUUUUGGCAGGAAAGAAACGUCAUGGGUUAAUACCCCGUGAAACUGACGUUACCUGCAGAAUAAGCACCGGCUAACUACGUGCCAGCAGCCGCGGUAAUACGUAGGGUGCAAGCGUUAAUCGGAAUUACUGGGCGUAAAGCGUGCGCAGGCGGUUCGGAAAGAAAGAUGUGAAAUCGCAGAGCUCAACUUUGGAACUUCAUUUUUAACUACCGGGCUAGAGUGUGUCAGAGCGAGGUGGAAUUCCACGUGUAGCAGUGAAAGGCGUAGAUAUGCGGAGGAACACCGAUGGCGAAGGCAGAAUCCUGGGAUAACACUGACGCUCAUGCACGAAGGCGUGGGGAGCAAACAGG
rnacentral:rRNA from 1 species